rnacentral:ncRNA from 2 species
ACGAGUAAGGUUUAUCAAGGUGAUACUGUUAUAGUUCAAAAUUAAGGAAGUGAGGUGAGAAUCCUCCACGAUCCCGUCACUGUGAGCAGGGACAAACCUGAACAGCGCCACUGAUAUUUUAUCGGGAAGGCUCAGGUGAGAAUGAUCUGCAAGUCAGGAUACUUAUUUUGAACCCCAUUGAGGA